rnacentral:rRNA from 1 species
UAGGGAAUCUUCCGCAAUGGACGCAAGUCUGAUGGAGCAACGCCGCGUGAGUGAAGAAGGUCUUCGGAUCGUAAAGCUCUGUUGUUGGUGAAGAAGGAUAGAGGCAGUAACUGGUCUUUAUUUGACGGUAAUCAACCAGAAAGUCACGGCUAACUACGUGCCAGCAGCCGCGGUAAUACGUAGGUGGCAAGCGUUGUCCGGAUUUAUUGGGCGUAAAGCGAGCGCAGGCGGAAUGAUAAGUCUGAUGUGAAAGCCCACGGCUCAACCGUGGAACUGCAUCGGAAACUGUCAUUCUUGAGUGCAGAAGAGGAGAGUGGAACUCCAUGUGUAGCGGUGGAAUGCGUAGAUAUAUGGAAGAACACCAGUGGCGAAGGCGGCUCUCUGGUCUGCAACUGACGCUGAGGCUCGAAAGCAUGGGUAGCGAACAGGAUUAGAUACCCUGGUAGUCCAUGCCGUAAACGAUGAGCGCUAGGUGUUGGG